rnacentral:rRNA from 1 species
AUUGAACGCUGGCGGCAUGCUUUACACAUGCGAGUCGAACGGCAGCGCGGGCUUCGGCCUGGAGGCGAGUGGCGAAUGGGUGAGUAAUGCAUCGGAACGUGCCCAGUAGUGGGGGAUAGCCCGGCGAAAGCCGGAUUAAUACCGCAUACGACCUGAGGGUGAAAGCGGGGGACCGAAAGGCCUCGCGCUUUUGGAGCGGCCCAUGUCGGAUUAGCUCGUUGGUGGGGUAAGGGCUUACCGAGGCGCCGAUCCGUAGCUGGUCUGAGAGGACGACCAGCCCCGUUAGGGAUGAGGCGCCGCCCGGCCUCCUGCGGGAGGCAGCAGUGGGGAAUUUUGGACAUUGGGGCCAAGCUUGGUCCAGCCACGCCGCGUCCGGGAAGAAGGCCUUCGGGUUGUAAACCGCUUUUGUUCGGGAGAAAAUCCUCUGGGCUAAUACCCCGGGGGGAUGACGGUACCGGGAGAAUAAGCACCGGCUAACUACGUG